UUGGGCUAUGGUGACAUGUAUCCCGAGACUUGGUCAGGCAUGUUGGUGGGAGCCUUGUGCGCCUUGGCUGGUGUGUUGACCAUUGCCAUGCCUGUGCCAGUCAUCGUCAACAAC
rfam:Anolis carolinensis unplaced genomic scaffold chrTn0095, whole genome shotgun sequence.